rnacentral:rRNA from 1 species
GAGUGGCGAACUGGUGAGUAACACGUGGGAAACCUGCCCAGAAGCGGGGGAUAACACCUGGAAACAGAUGCUAAUACCGCAUAACAACUUGGACCGCAUGGUCCGAGUUUGAAAGAUGGCUUCGGCUAUCACUUUUGGAUGGUCCCGCGGCGUAUUAGCUAGAUGGUGGGGUAACGGCUCACCAUGGCAAUGAUACGUAGCCGACCUGAGAGGGUAAUCGGCCACAUUGGGACUGAGACACGGCCCAAACUCCUACGGGAGGCAGCAGUAGGGAAUCUUCCACAAUGGACGAAAGUCUGAUGGAGCAACGCCGCGUGAGUGAAGAAGGGUUUCGGCUCGUAAAACUCUGUUGUUAAAGAAGAACAUAUCUGAGAGUAACUGUUCAGGUAUUGACGGUAUUUAACCAGAAAGCCACGGCUAACUACGUGCCAGCAGCCGCGGUAAUACGUAGGUGGCAAGCGUUGUCCGGAUUUAUUGGGCGUAAAGCGAGCGCAGGCGGUUUUUUAAGUCUGAUGUGAAAGCCUUCGGCUCAACCGAAGAAGUGCAUCGGAAACUGGGAAACUUGAGUGCAGAAGAGGACAGUGGAACUCCAUGUGUAGCGGUGAAAUGCGUAGAUAUAUGGAAGAACACCAGUGGCGAAGGCGGCUGUCUGGUCUGUAACUGACGCUGAGGCUCGAAAGUAUGGGUAGCAAACAGGAUUAGAUACCCUGGUAGUCCAUACCGUAAACGAUGAAUGCUAAGUGUUGGAGGGUUUCCGCCCUUCAGUGCUGCAGCUAACGCAUUAAGCAUUCCGCCUGGGGAGUACGGCCGCAAGGCUGAAACUCAAAGGAAUUGACGGGGGCCCGCACAAGCGGUGGAGCAUGUGGUUUAAUUCGAAGCUACGCGAAGAACCUUACCAGGUCUUGACAUACUAUGCAAAUCUAAGAGAUUAGACGUUCCCUUCGGGGACAUGGAUACAGGUGGUGCAUGGUUGUCGUCAGCUCGUGUCGUGAGAUGUUGGGUUAAGUCCCGCAACGAGCGCAACCCUUAUUAUCAGUUGCCAGCAUUAAGUUGGGCACUCUGGUGAGACUGCCGGUGACAAACCGGAGGAAGGUGGGGAUGACGUCAAAUCAUCAUGCCCCUUAUGACCUGGGCUACACACGUGCUACAAUGGAUGGUACAACGAGUUGCGAACUCGCGAGAGUAAGCUAAUCUCUUAAAGCCAUUCUCAGUUCGGAUUGUAGGCUGCAACUCGCCUACAUGAAGUCGGAAUCGCUAGUAAUCGCGGAUCAGCAUGCCGCGGUGAAUACGUUCCCGGGCCUUGUACACACCGCCCGUCACACCAUGAGAGUUUGUAACACCCAAAGUCGGUGGGGUAACCUUUUAGGAACCAGCCGCCUA